GCUGGGCACAGUGGCGCACGCCUGUAAUCCCAGCACCUUGGGAGGUUGAGGCAGGAGGAUCAGGAGUUAAAAGCCAGCCUCAUCAAUUGCGAGGUGCUAAGCAACUCAGUGAGACCCUGUUUCUA
rnacentral:sRNA from 1 species